CUCGCUUACCAUCUCACAUUGUAGUUGAUGAGAGAGUUGAUCAGCUCAGAAGGACAAUGGCAUCCGAAAUUAUAUCUGCUUCAGAGGAUCUUGUAAAUGCUUGUCAGUGGUGCGCAGCAUAUACAAGCCGAAAAAAAGAUGUCUUUUGGAUAUGUUGCAGUACAUGUGAGCGAUGGAACCACAUAACUUGCGUGGCCAUGUCAAAGGAUGAAUUUAAUGAGUAUGAGGGAAAAGAUCGGAAUUAUUAUUGUCCAGCAUGUGCUGAAAGCUCCAAACUGCCAAUAAAUGAAGACAGAUAAAAGAUGACCUCUGAAAAAGGACUAAAUGGCCAAAGAGAAGUACAAUGAUGGAAUCUGACCCCUACCGACCGACCAGCGCUCUCAAGGUUCUGAACACUCCAGCAGUUGGGGACAGGCCAAACCGCUGCGGAGCCAAGAAACCGCACACAAGCCCAGAUGCACCUCACUCUAAAAACUAGCCAUAAAUGAAACAUUUAAAUUUUUGACUCCACAUGCUGCCUGAACAAUUCUUCCCCUUGUGCUCAAUCUCUGCCUUUCCUCUCACAGCUGACUAAACCCAAGGAGCUUGCCUGCUUGCUGGACACCCGCACCAAGCAGUGAAAUUCACCAUUAAGCCAUUCCACUGGAUCCUUGUCGAGUUUAAACCCCUUGUAACAGAUAACCGUCUCCUACGGGGUUGGAGUUUAUAUCUUACCCAAAGAAAUCUUAUUAGUGACCCCAACUGCCCCUUCCCACUCCCCAUCAUUAUAUACCUACAUGCAUGCAUAGAAAGACUGUUUCUAUUAGCAAUAUGCCAGCUGCCAAUGUAUUAGAAGUACUGUAUAUUCUCUAACUCAGUAAAUGAUGUUCUCAUGUUCGUAUGUAUGUAGCAUGGUAUGUCGUCGUAACUUAUACUGACCAUGCACUGUGAGUACAUACUCCACUUUCCUGGAUGCUACAUUUUUUAAUGUGUGCUGUAUUUAUUGUAGUGGUUUUUUUUCCUUUUUUGCAAAAUAAUUCCACAUUUGCACAUUGUCUAUAUUGUUCUUUGUUUCACUAUGGUUCUAGAAGGAAUGUUAUUUUGUUGUAUUUUAUACUGAGGUGGAACGAAAAUAAAAUGCCACAUU